GGACCAUCCAAACGUUAUUCGGAAUUACUGGGCUUAAAGGGUGCGUAGGCGGCGCGGAAAGUUGGGUGUGAAAUCCCUUGGCUUAACCAAGGAAUGGCGCUCAAAACUACCGUGCUCGAGGAAGACAGAGGUGAGCGGAACUUAGGGUGGAGCGGUGAAAUGCGUUGAUAUCCUAAGGAACACCGGUGGCGAAAGCGGCUCACUGGGUCUUUUCUGACGCUGAGGCACGAAAGCCAGGGUAGCGAACGGGAUUAGAUACCCCGGUAGUCCUGGCCGUAAACGCUGAGCACUUGACGGGAGACUCCUCCAUAGGUUUCCGGUCGUAGCGAAAGUGAUAAGUGCUCCGCCUGGGGAGUAUGGCCGCAAGGCUGAA
rnacentral:rRNA from 1 species